rnacentral:rRNA from 1 species
CCUACGGUGCGCUGCAGUGAGGAAUAUUGGUCAAUGGGCGGAAGCCUGAACCAGCCAAGUAGCGUGCGGGAUGAAGGCCCUACGGGUCGUAAACCGCUUUUGCACGGGGAUAACACCCUCCACUUGUGGAGGUCUGCAGGUACCGUGCGAAUAAGGGCCGGCUAAUUCCGUGCCAGCAGCCGCGGUAAUACGGAAGGCCCGAGCGUUAUCCGGAUUCAUUGGGCUUAAAGGGAGCGUAGGCGGGCGUUCAAGUCAGCUGUAAAAUCGCGCGGCUCAACCGCGCCCCGCAGUUGAAACUGGAAGCCGUGAGUUCACAACAGGCAGGCGGAAUGCGUGGUGUAGCGGUGAAAUGCAUAGAUAUCACGAGGAACCCCGAUUGCGAAGGCAGCCUGCCGGGGUGCGACUGACGCUGAGGCUCGAAGGUGCGGGUAUCAAACAGGAUUAGAUACCCCUGUAGUC